AUUUAAAAUAUAUCCAAGAUGGCGUCGCGGCCGAAGCUCCUCCAAGUGCAGCUUUAUUUCACACAUAAAAGUGAUACUAGGGGCAGUCGCGACAUGCACAGAGCUUUAAUUAUAGUAUAAGGAUUUGACCACACAGAAUGCAGAUGACUGGCACUAAUGUGAAACGUUUGAUACGUUGCUUAGCCGUGACUCUCGAGGGGGCGGAGAUUCGGCCAAAGCGUCUUCUGCCAUGAGUGUCCCAGCAUCAGACUCCUGUCUAAUAGCACCAGAAGCUACAGUGCUACAACAAGCCCCAUUCAAUUUACCUGAGAGCAGUGAAGAAAUCCAGAAGAGAUAAGGCUUCAGAAACAUUCAAUAAGCCUUUAUUGAGUCAUGCUUCAUAUAUCUGGGCUUUAUGGAGGAGUAAGAAGAAGGAAACAUUGGAGAAGGAUUUUCAGUUUUAAAGGAAGACAAAGAGCAGUCCUGCAAUAAAACAAGACAUGGGAUUUGAGCCAAGCAGCAGGGUGAAGAAAAGCUCACUGCAGCUUAAGCAACAGUGAGUUGAUAUGCUGAUGUGGUCUGGCAGUUUGUCAGAGGGGACCUGCUGUCACUCCGAAUGUCUCCGGCAGCUCUCCAAACACGUACAACAGGACAGAAGAAUAUGCAUCCUUACUCAAAUAAGAACCAGAAAAUGAAAAUAUUGUGUCUAUAUCAACUCAGAAUUAAUUUAGAAUGUAAGAAGAUCCACACCAGGGCUGUGUUUCAUCCUCUUUCUUGCGAUAUUGCAGCGGAUGUUUUGCUGUUGUUCCCCAGUGUGCAGCUGUAAUAAAGGCAAAACUCAACAGAUACUUGGUGGAUCUGGAGGAGGUGCAGGCAGGAGAUGGGUACAUCAGUCAGGCCCAGACAAUAGCAACUCUGGGGAAAGCUGGCUCGUGCUUAAGAGCAGAGAGCCUGAAGGAUCCCCUUUCAGCAGAUGGGGUGUGUUUGCCUGCUAGAGACAAUUAGGCCAGCUUUAAUCCUCCAUCUGCUUUCCUUGCUUUUUUUCACCAUUCAUUCAGCCAGAAGCAAGUCUGCUCUCAACCUCUUCAGACCAGGUACUUUUAUUUGCAGAGGAAAACACCCUGACAGAGCGUAAUAAAAACAAAAUCCCA